UCUCUUUUGAGGAGAGAAGUCAGAGCCGGAGACCAAGCUUCCCAAUCUGCCAACCCAGGUCCUUGAGGGCAAGAUUUCUACCUUAGCCUCUGCUGCCCCUAAGCUCCCUCUGCCAUGGUGACUUUCGGAUCAGCUUCACCUGCCAACAUCGCUGGAGCUGGAGCUCAUCACUUCUUCCCUGGGGUCCUAGCGCCAGGCAGACGCAUCUGGGGAAGGAAAGACAUAGCCAUUGCUCCCGUUUGCGGGACAAAGACCUAGAAAGAAGCUGA